rnacentral:rRNA from 1 species
UUAAGCGACUAAGCGUACACGGUGGAUGCCCUGGCAGUCAGAGGCGAUGAAGGACGUGCUAAUCUGCGAUAAGCGUCGGUAAGGUGAUAUGAACCGUUAUAACCGGCGAUUUCCGAAUGGGGAAACCCAGUGUGUUUCGACACACUAUCAUUAACUGAAUCCAUAGGUUAAUGAGGCGAACCGGGGGAACUGAAACAUCUAAGUACCCCGAGGAAAAGAAAUCAACCGAGAUUCCCCCAGUAGCGGCGAGCGAACGGGGAGCAGCCCAGAGCCUGAAUCAGUGUGUGUGUUAGUGGAAGCGUCUGGAAAGGCGCGCGAUACAGGGUGACAGCCCCGUACACAAAAAUGCACAUGCUGUGAGCUCGAUGAGUAGGGCGGGACACGUGGUAUCCUGUCUGAAUAUGGGGGGACCAUCCUCCAAGGCUAAAUACUCCUGACUGACCGAUAGUGAACCAGUACCGUGAGGGAAAGGCGAAAAGAACCCCGGCGAGGGGAGUGAAAAAGAACCUGAAACCGUGUACGUACAAGCAGUGGGAGCACGCUUAGGCGUGUGACUGCGUACCUUUUGUAUAAUGGGUCAGCGACUUAUAUUCUGUAGCAAGGUUAACCGAAUAGGGGAGCCGAAGGGAAACCGAGUCUUAACUGGGCGUUAAGUUGCAGGGUAUAGACCCGAAACCCGGUGAUCUAGCCAUGGGCAGGUUGAAGGUUGGGUAACACUAACUGGAGGACCGAACCGACUAAUGUUGAAAAAUUAGCGGAUGACUUGUGGCUGGGGGUGAAAGGCCAAUCAAACCGGGAGAUAGCUGGUUCUCCCCGAAAGCUAUUUAGGUAGCGCCUCGUGAAUUCAUCUCCGGGGGUAGAGCACUGUUUCGGCAAGGGGGUCAUCCCGACUUACCAACCCGAUGCAAACUGCGAAUACCGGAGAAUGUUAUCACGGGAGACACACGGCGGGUGCUAACGUCCGUCGUGAAGAGGGAAACAACCCAGACCGCCAGCUAAGGUCCCAAAGUCAUGGUUAAGUGGGAAACGAUGUGGGAAGGCCCAGACAGCCAGGAUGUUGGCUUAGAAGCAGCCAUCAUUUAAAGAAAGCGUAAUAGCUCACUGGUCGAGUCGGCCUGCGCGGAAGAUGUAACGGGGCUAAACCAUGCACCGAAGCUGCGGCAGCGACGCUUAUGCGUUGUUGGGUAGGGGAGCGUUCUGUAAGCCUGUGAAGGUGUACUGUGAGGUAUGCUGGAGGUAUCAGAAGUGCGAAUGCUGACAUAAGUAACGAUAAAGCGGGUGAAAAGCCCGCUCGCCGGAAGACCAAGGGUUCCUGUCCAACGUUAAUCGGGGCAGGGUGAGUCGACCCCUAAGGCGAGGCCGAAAGGCGUAGUCGAUGGGAAACAGGUUAAUAUUCCUGUACUUGGUGUUACUGCGAAGGGGGGACGGAGAAGGCUAUGUUGGCCGGGCGACGGUUGUCCCGGUUUAAGCGUGUAGGCUGGUUUUCCAGGCAAAUCCGGAAAAUCAAGGCUGAGGCGUGAUGACGAGGCACUACGGUGCUGAAGCAACAAAUGCCCUGCUUCCAGGAAAAGCCUCUAAGCAUCAGGUAACAUCAAAUCGUACCCCAAACCGACACAGGUGGUCAGGUAGAGAAUACCAAGGCGCUUGAGAGAACUCGGGUGAAGGAACUAGGCAAAAUGGUGCCGUAACUUCGGGAGAAGGCACGCUGAUAUGUAGGUGAAGCGACUUGCUCGUGGAGCUGAAAUCAGUCGAAGAUACCAGCUGGCUGCAACUGUUUAUUAAAAACACAGCACUGUGCAAACACGAAAGUGGACGUAUACGGUGUGACGCCUGCCCGGUGCCGGAAGGUUAAUUGAUGGGGUUAGCGCAAGCGAAGCUCUUGAUCGAAGCCCCGGUAAACGGCGGCCGUAACUAUAACGGUCCUAAGGUAGCGAAAUUCCUUGUCGGGUAAGUUCCGACCUGCACGAAUGGCGUAAUGAUGGCCAGGCUGUCUCCACCCGAGACUCAGUGAAAUUGAACUCGCUGUGAAGAUGCAGUGUACCCGCGGCAAGACGGAAAGACCCCGUGAACCUUUACUAUAGCUUGACACUGAACAUUGAGCCUUGAUGUGUAGGAUAGGUGGGAGGCUUUGAAGUGUGGACGCCAGUCUGCAUGGAGCCGACCUUGAAAUACCACCCUUUAAUGUUUGAUGUUCUAACGUGGACCCGUGAUCCGGGUUGCGGACAGUGUCUGGUGGGUAGUUUGACUGGGGUCU